UCGUCAACAAAUGGGACAAGUGUUUGUAGAUAUAGUCCAAGAAUUAAACAAAACUAAUGACCAUAUUCCAUUCAAAAUGGUAAUGGAGAAAAUUGGUGACGCAGCUUCAUCAUUUCAGCUUGAUUCCAAGGACAACCCAUUAAAGCGAGACCCUGCAGUUAAAACAAUAGUGGACAUGGGAUUUCCAAUUGCAG
rnacentral:sRNA from 1 species